rnacentral:rRNA from 1 species
AACUAACGCUGGCGGCGUGCCUAACACAUGCAAGUCGUACGAGAAAGCCGGCUUCGGCUGGUGAGUAAAGUGGCGCACGGGUGAGUAACGCGUGGAUAAUCUGCCCUUAAGUGUGGAAUAACGUACCGAAAGGUGCGCUAAUACCGCAUAAUGCCUGGCAACACAAGUUGUCCGGCCAAAGAAGGCCUCUGUUUACAAGCUUUCGCUUCAGGAUGAGUCCGCGUACCAUUAGCUUGUUGGUGGGGUAAUGGCCUACCAAGGCUGCGAUGGUUAGCUGGUCUGAGAGGACGAUCAGCCACACUGGAACUGAGACACGGUCCAGACUCCUACGGGAGGCAGCAGUGAGGAAUAUUGCGCAAUGGGGGCAACCCUGACGCAGCAACGCCGCGUGAGUGAAGAAGGCCUUCGGGUUGUAAAGCUCUUUCGGCCGGGAAGAAAUCGUAUGGGUUAAUACCCUGUGCGGAUGACGGUACCGGCAUAAGAAGCACCGGCUAACUACGUG